rnacentral:tRNA from 1 species
GAAGUAUUAGUAUAGCCAAUACAUAACUUUGUCAAAGUUAAAACAUAAACUAACCUUUAUAUACUUCU